UGGUCUUCAGAACAAGUCCCCACCAACAUUGGAAAUGCCUACAACCCAACACAGGCAUUUUUACUGCC